rnacentral:rRNA from 1 species
UCUGCGGCCCAUGCUGCCCUGAACGCCCCCAAUCUCAUCUGAUCUCAGAAGCUACACAGGGUCAGGCCUGGUUAGUACUUGGAUGGGAGACAAGAUAUCAUGUAGACCAGGCUGGCCUCAAAC